CCUUCGGAUGAUUUGUUGGGCGUCGAGCGGCGGACGGNUGAGUAAUGCCUGGGAAAUUGCCCUGAUGUGGGGGAUAACCAUUGGAAACGAUGGCUAAUACCGCAUAANGUCUACGGACCANAGAGGGGGACCUUCGGGCCUCUCGCUUCAGGAUAUGCCCAGGUGGNAUUANCUAGUUGGNGANNNAAUGGCUCACCAAGGCGACGAUCCCUANCUGGUCUGAGAGGAUGAUCANCCACACUGGAACUGANACACGGUCCAGACUCCUACGGGAGGCANCNNUGGGGAAUAUUGCNCAAUGGGCGCAAGCCUGAUGCANCCAUGCCGCGUGUAUGAAGAAGGCCUUCGGGUUGUAAAGUACUUUCAGUCGUGAGGAAGGCGUUGNANUUAAUAGNUUCNUCGUUUGACGUUAGCGACAGAAGAAGCACCGGCUAACUCCGUGCCAGCAGCCGCGGUAAUACGGAGGGUGCGAGCGUUANUCGGAAUUACUGG
rnacentral:rRNA from 1 species